rnacentral:rRNA from 1 species
GGCUUUGCCUGCUAUCUCUUACCCAUGUCUUUUGAGUACCUUCGUUUCCUCGGCGGGUCCGCCCGCCGAUUGGACAAUUUAAACCAUUUGCAGUUGCAAUCAGCGUCUGAAAAAACUUAAUAGUUACAACUUUCAACAACGGAUCUCUUGGUUCUGGCAUCGAUGAAGAACGCAGCGAAAUGCGAUAAGUAGUGUGAAUUGCAGAAUUCAGUGAAUCAUCGAAUCUUUGAACGCACAUUGCGCCCCUUGGUAUUCCAUGGGGCAUGCCUGUUCGAGCGUCAUUUGUACCUUCAAGCUCUGCUUGGUGUUGGGUGUUUGUCUCGCCUCUGCGCGUAGACUCGCCUCAAAACAAUUGGCAGCCGGCGUAUUGAUUUCGGAGCGCAGUACAUCUCGCGCUUUGCACUCAUAACGACGACGUCCAAAAGUACAUUUUUACACUCUUGACCUCGGAUCAGGUAGGGAUACCCGCUGAACUUAAGCAUAUCAAUAAGCGGAGGA